rnacentral:rRNA from 1 species
UCGAAUCAGGUAGGACUACCCGCUGAACUUAAGCAUAUC